CUUGAAUCUGGGCUUGGCCACCGGGACAUUAGCAAACGUGAUGCAAGCAGGGGCUUGAAAAGCACUUGCACAAAAGGAAUUACCCCUUUUUGACAGCGGCUGUAACCCUGAGACCGGUGAUGUGAGCAAGCCUGGGCUGGCCUAAUAGAGAGGCCUUAUGCAGCAGGGCUGAGCCCAGGCAGCAGCCUGCCUAUGUCCAACCAGCCAAUUGCCAGACACGUGAGUGAGGUCAUCUUAGGCCAUCCAGCCCCAUUUAAGACCCUAGAGGACUACAGACACAUGAAUGACUCCAGGGAAGACCAGCAGCAGAACCACUCCGGUGACCUCAGCCCAAAUCGCUGAUCCAGAUUCAUGAGCAAGCCGUUAAGUCUGGCCAUGGUUUGUAACGCAGUGAUCAAUAACUGAUAUAGAAGGUCCUGCAGAGAGAGAAGACCACGAGAAGCAAAAAGCAGCAAGAUGACUGGAAAGAUUCAGGAAUUGGGAGCAGUGAAUAACUCAAAGUGCAGUGGAGGUUGGUGCUGAACAUCAGCAUUAGCUGACAAUUUGUAAAAGAAGCAGUUCCUGGCCAGGUGCCAUGGCUCACGCCUAUAAUCUCAGCACUUUGGGAGACCAAGGAGGGUGUAUCACGAGGUCAAGAGAUCGAGACCAUCCUGGCUAACACAGUGAAACCCUGUCUCUACGAAAAAGAACACAAAAAAUUAGCCAGGUGUGGUGGCACGGGCCUGUAGUCCCAGCUAUUCGGGAGGCUGAGGCAGGAGAAUCACUUUAACCUGAGAGGCGGAGGUUGCAGUGAGCCGAGAUCGAGUCACUGCACUCCAGCCUGGGUGACAGGGCUAGAGUCCGUCUCAUAAAUAAAAUGAAAUAAUAAAAAACAGAUGUUCAAACUCACUGGUAAUCAAUGAAAUGCAAGUUAAAACAAUGAGAUACCAUUUUAUACCUCGCAGAGGGACAAAAAUUAGAGUUAGAAAAUAGCAGGGUGAAAAUUGGAGAAAUGAUCAUCCUUUUGUCUCAUUAUGGGAGUGCAAACUGGUGCAGAUAUUUAAGAAACAAAUGUGGCUGAAUUGGGGAAGUCAAGGAUAUAAGACCCAGCAACCAGCAAUCUCAGCCUGGGUUGGGAGGUGAAUUCUGUACAUCUGAGAGUUCGCCCAUCCACAAGGGGUCGUGUACAAGGAUGUUCACUGCAGAUUUGUUGUAAAAAUGAGGAGGUGGUGUCCAUCACUAAUGGAAUAUUUGGGUGCAUCUCAUGUGCUGCUGCUCAGCGGUAGGACCCAGGAGCGAGGUGGACAGGCAGCGGCCGGAGGAGGUCAGAAAAACAGUGCUGGGGC
rnacentral:lncRNA from 1 species